GAUGAACGCUGGCGGCGUGCCUAAUACAUGCAAGUCGAGCGAACGGACGAGAAGUUUGCUUCUCUGCUGUUAGCGGUGGACGGGUGAGUAACACGUGGAUAACUUACCUAUAAGACUGGGAUAACUUCGGGAACCCGGAGCUAACACCGGAUGAUAUUUUGAACCGCAUGGUUCAAAAGUGAACGACGGUUCUGCUGACCCUUAUAGAUGGAUCCGCGCUGCAUUAGCUAGUUGGUAAGGUAACGGCUUACCAAGGCGACGAUGCGUAGCCGACCUGAGAGGGUGAUCAGCCACACUGGAACUGAGACACGGUCCAGACUCCUACGGGAGGCAGCAGUAGGGAAUCUUCCGCAAUGGGCGAAAGCCUGACGGAGCAACGCCGCGUGAGUGAUGAAGGUCUUCGGAUCGUAAAACUCUGUUAUUAGGGAAGAACAUAUGUGUAAGUAACUGUGCACAUCUUGACGGUACCUAAUCAGAAAGCCACGGCUAACUACGUG
rnacentral:rRNA from 1 species